UGUCCACGAACUCUAUCCCAGUGCUGCCCUGCUGCCUCACAAUAGUAGCUUUUUAAUAAAUGCUUGUUCCCUUCCUUCAUGUUAGUUGCUCUGCUGCUCAUGAGGGAAUUAGAGUCAUCUCAUCUACCUCGUAUCACCUUCUGUAGGGAUUUUCAUGAAGAAAGAGAAAUUAAGUCAUAGCAUAAACCAUUGGCAUGUGAAAAAACAAAUUGAAAGAUCUGUAGUCUUUCCUCUGCAAAGGACAGGCUUCUUAAAUGCAAGCCUCGCUGGUGGAUAA
rnacentral:lncRNA from 1 species